AAAUUAAUGAAUGUAGGUAAGUAAAUUUUUAAUAAUUAUACAUAUAAAGUUUGAUCCUUGCUCAUUGUUUCUUUGUUAGCUUAUUUUAUAUAUUUUAUAUUUUUCAAUAGUUAAUUAGUAGUGAAUUAAUUUAUUAAUAAGGUUAUUCUUGAUGUAGUAAUGUUAGUAAUCCUAAGUCAAUCCGUGCCAGCACUUGCGGUUAUACGUAUGGGGUAAAAGAAGUUUUUUGGUAAAAAGAAAUUAAUUUUUGAUUAGUUUAAGCUUGAGAUGGUUUAUUUUUAGGUAAAAUUAAGAAUAUUUUAAUUCUGGCUUUAAGAAUAUGAAAUGAAAGGUUUAAAAUUAAUUAUGUAAACCUGGAUUAGAUACCCAGUUAUUUUUAAUAUAGUUAAUUUACCAAGGUAGUAUAAGGGUUCUAGAAAUUUAAGGGAUUUGGCGGUAUUUUAUUCCAAUUAGAGGAACUUGCCCUAUAAUCGAUAUUACACGAAAAGUUAACUUUUCUUUGUUAUCAGUUUGUAUAUCGCUGUCGUCAGAAAACUUUAAUAGAUUGUGUUUUCUUUUUGUAUGAUCUUCAAGACGUCAAGUCAAGGUGCAGCACAUAGAAAAGGUUGAAAGGUGAGUUACAAUAAUAACAAUUAUUACGGAUUAGGUUAUGGAAAAUAACUAUAAAGGUGGAUUUAUUAGUAAAUUUUUAAUAGGUAGRAGAAUUGAUUAUUGGCUCUGAGAUAUGUACACAUCGCCCGUCACUCUCAUAUUUAGGUGAGAUAAGUCGUAACAUAGUAGGCGUAUUGGAAAAUGUGCCUGGAGAUAU
rnacentral:ncRNA from 1 species